rnacentral:rRNA from 1 species
CAGCAGCCGCGGUAAUACGUAGGGGGCGAGCGUUGUCCGGAAUUAUUGGGCGUAAAGCGCGCGCAGGCGGUCCUUUAAGUCUGAUGUGAAAGCCCACGGCUCAACCGUGGAGGGUCAUUGGAAACUGGGGGACUUGAGUGCAGGAGAGGAGAGCGGAAUUCCACGUGUAGCGGUGAAAUGCGUAGAGAUGUGGAGGAACACCAGUGGCGAAGGCGGCUCUCUGGCCUGUAACUGACGCUGAGGCGCGAAAGCGUGGGGAGCAAACAGGAUUAGAUACCCUGGUAGUCCACGCCGUAAACGAUGAGUGCUAAGUGUUAGAGGGGUCAAACCCUUUAGUGCUGCAGCUAACGCGAUAAGCACUCCGCCUGGGGAGUACGGCCGCAAGGCUGAAACUUAAAGGAAUUGGCGGG